CUCUUCGGGAGCAAGUCGGAACUUGAUUAUGAGCAACGUCAUUGCCGUCGAAUAUACUUCAUUUCGGACAACGGUUCGGAUUGCAUGUCUUUUUUCAAGCCAUGAACCCUUGGAAUAUAGAAGAGGGUACUGUAGGGUCUAGAAAUAACGUUGUAUUUUCAUUUCAUUUGUUAAAAUCUCCUGUUUUCAUUAUUGUUUGCUCUCCAUAGUUUUCUUUGACGAACAACAACCAAAAACAAUUUUCAGAAAUCACUUUCCAAGAUCUAAUAUCACUGUCUAACACUAACAACUUACCAUUUCAGGGACAUACUAUACUCUGCUGCUCGUGGUUGUGCUAUUGGCUUAUGGGGCGCUUUCAGACGAGGAUCAAAAGAGCCAUCGACAGAAAAGACUUUUCAGUAUCUUCAACAUCGUCACUUUCAAAAACGAUGUUUGCACGACAACUGGUACAGGGAACCUGCAAGGAACCUGUUUGACCUCCACUGAAUGCACCGCCAAAGGGGGAUCUUCCUCUGGAAAUUGUGCUGCGGGUUUUGGUGUGUGCUGUCUUUUCAGUGUAAGUGGAGCGUGCACUUCAGCUCAAACGAUUUCUCAGAAUUGCACAUACAUUCGGAACAAUGGUUUUCCGUCAGCCGACUCGACUGUGAGUGAAACUUGCACUUACAACUUCGACCGGAUAUGUGACAGUAAGAUUGAG